rnacentral:rRNA from 1 species
UACGAAGGGGGCUAGCGUUGCUCGGAAUCACUGGGCGUAAAGCGCACGUAGGCGGAUUGCUAAGUCAGGGGUGAAAUCCUGGAGCUCAACUCCAGAACUGCCUUUGAUACUGGCGAUCUCGAGUCCGGGAGAGGUGAGUGGAACUGCGAGUGUAGAGGUGAAAUUCGUAGAUAUUCGCAAGAACACCAGUGGCGAAGGCGGCUCACUGGCCCGGUACUGACGCUGAGGUGCGAAAACGUGGGGAGCAAACAGG